rnacentral:misc_RNA from 1 species
CUCCAUUACCUGGCUACUUUUCUAGCUUCACUGGGUAUUCAUAUCUUCUCAAUUACAGUGGUCGGUUCACUCAAAGAAUCUGUGAGUUUAUUUUAUUUUAUUUCCUUUUCUUAUUUAAUAUUUUCUUCAUGAUCUUGAUUUCACUUUCACUGCCCUCAAUUUUCAUAUUCUCCGAUCAUUUAUCACUCUUCAGUUCAUAAUUGUGGUUUCAUUUUCCAAAUCCCUCUUUUUUUUUAUGAUAAUUUCUUUUGCAGGUAAAGGGAUUUUUGUUUCGUGAUGUCUGACACCAACCCCUUUCCCUUGCCUUCAGAUCAAGUUGAGGAGUAUGCUCCAGAGUAUUUAUUAUUUCUUUUUUGUUAUCGCUCUGACGCCUCUCUCCUGAGAUUAAUUAGUCCUUUUUGAUAUUAUUGCAUAAAAAACAAAUCUUUUGUCGGAGUAGAAUGAAACCCAGUAUGUGAUUAACUUGUUAGAUUGGAUUUUAUGUGUAUAUUGAACCUGCUUUAAUUCUGGAAUGUGGAUGAUACAGAACUGUAGGGAAUGUUUAAAUGAUGUUUUAUAUGUAAAACUGCUUUGCAAGAUAAUAAUGUUUUGUAUAUCCUGGAACUAGUCUUGAUCCGGUCAUUUACUUCCAUUAUUUGAUUGUUGUAUUCUGUUUGAAGUUUCAGUCACAGUGGCUAUGUCUCACCUCUCUCAAUAAGUGGUCAACAGAAUGAGGAAUUUCCUCAGGAUGGCCAAUUUGUGCAGAGUGAUCAAUUUGUGCAAACUGAUGUCCCUAAUGAAAGUGAUGCCGGCGCGCAUCAGGUGGAGGAUAAUAACUUGCUUUGGCCAGUUCUACCUGGUGAUUCUGGUGAAGGUUUACCGUAUGCUCCUAUUGAUUGGCCAUAUCCUGGUGAUGUUUGGACUUGGAGAGUAGGAAGGAGGUUUAACUCUUCUGGCUACUUCCAAGAUAGAUUUCUGUAUCUUCCAAAACGACUUGGGAAACAGUCUUUUGCCAGCAAGGCUGCAAUUGCGAAUUAUAUUCAAUCAGAAUUCCCCGGUUCUAAUAUUGAUGCAUUUUUUGCAUCCUUUGCUUGGAAGAUCCCUGUCAAAAUUCAACCUCCAGCAAAAGAGGAACCUGCCAUCUCUACUUUGGAGAACCCUCAGCAGGAUGAAAAAGUUGCAGGUCAAGAAGAAAAGAAAGAAGAAAACUUUGAUUCAGGCUGGGGAAAAAGGAGGAGGAGUACAGUAUCUACACCCAAACAAGCAAAACAGAAUGGAGCAACAUCAUCUCCCAUUCCUAAGCGAACAAAAAAGAGCGGAGCCAAAACAUCCUCAACGCCUAGACAAACAAAAAGUAAAUUAUCGCCCACUCCUAAACGAACAAAACAGAGCCGAGCUACACCCACUUCUAGGCAAACAAGACAGAAUGGAGCUACUUUAUCAUCCACAGGUAAGCGGAAAACUAGGCAUUCUUCUAGACAAGCUGUCCCCAAUGAUGAAGGUGGUGUAUUUAGCACAGAGGAAUCAAUAGUUGAACCAAUUCCAGAGGAUUUUGAUAACUAUCUCAACUCUUUGGAAGACAUUCUUACCCAGCCUGUUUCUGAAACCCAAGGACUAUCUUCUGCAAGCAUGGAUUCUUAUACAGCACAAAAUGAAUUGGCAGAAGCUCGAAGUAAGCUUUCUUCUCUUCUUGUCAUGGAUUUUCCUUCAUUGGUCUCAUCCAACAGCAUUUCCGAACUUACAACUCUGGCAUCCAAAGUUCAAAAGGAUCCUACCUUGAAUGCUGAACAACUUGUUAAAUUGAAGUUGAUUGAGGAAAUUUCAUCAUUCAGCGAGGUCUUCCUUGAGAGUAGAGAAUUAAUAGAGCAGGUUGAGGAAUUCUUUGCCACCCUUGAGGGUAAAAAGGCCAAGGUUGCUUCUCUGAAGAACGAGUAUAAUGAAUUGAAGGAAAAAACAGACCAGCUGCAAUCGCAGGUGGAUUCAAAUUUAUUGACUGUGCAAGAAAUUGACAAUCAAAUUGCUCUACUUCAAUCCAGGCGAGCUGAGCUUACUAAUGCAAUUGAGACAAACAAGGAAGCAAAGGUUGAGGUGACUUAUGCUCAGAAGAUGGUGGCAAAUGCUAUUCCCAAAGUAGUGAAUGAGAUUCAGCUGGCCAACUCCAGAUUGCCAGAAUUGGAGCUGAAAAAGAAAAAUGCAUUAAAGCGUGAAUCAGAAAUUCUGGCAAAAUUUGCCCCUCUGCAAGGUUUUUCUCUUUAAGCAAUGUCUUUAGAUCCCUUUUUUUUUUAACAGUCUUUAGAAUUAUGCUUUCAUGUUUAUGGCAAUACUUUCUGUUGCAUGGUUGGAUUUCAUAUCGUUUGUUAUGAUAUUACAACUUAUAUUCCUUGGAUGGAACAUUGAUAAUUUAAUUGGGU